rnacentral:rRNA from 1 species
GACGUAGGGUGCAAGCGUGUCCGGAUUUAUUUGGGCGUAAAGAGCUCGUAGGCCGGCGUGUUACGUCGAUCGUGAAAACUAAUCCGCUUAACGGUGGGCUUGCGGUCGAUACGGGCAGGCUAGAGUUCGGUAGGGGAGACUGGAAUUCCUGGUGUAGCGGUGAAAAUGCGCAGAUAUCAAGGAGGAACACCGGUGGCGUAAAGGGCGGGGUCUCCUGGGGCC